ACAGGGACCUGAGUGAUCGUGUCUCCCUUGCAUGUUGACGGAGAGGAAAGUCCGGACACCACAGAGCAGGGUGCUGGGUAACGCCCAGUCGGGGAAACCCGCAGGCAAGUGCCACAGAAAGCAAACCGCCUGCUCGGCGGCGUGGGGCUUCGGUUAACUCCCGGGUUAACCCAUUGAGCUCCGCGGCGCUGGCGGGUAAGGGUGAAAGGGUGCGGUAAGAGCGCACCGGAGGCGUGGCGACACGUCUGCCAGGUAAACCCCACCCGGUGCAAGGCCAAAUAGGAGGAUGCCAUCGGGUUGCUCGCCCGGUCCUCGGGUAGGCUGCAUUGAGAAGCGCGGCGACGCGCCCUCCCAGAUAGAUGGCCGCAUAGAACAGAAUCCGGCUUACGGGCCUGCUAAA
rnacentral:RNase_P_RNA from 1 species